UACGGAGGGAGCUAGCGUUGUUCGGAAUUACUGGGCGUAAAGCGCGCGUAGGCGGCUUUGUAAGUUAGAGGUGAAAGCCCGGGGCUCAACCCCGGAAUUGCCUUUAAGACUGCAUCGCUUGAAUCCGGGAGAGGUGAGUGGAAUUCCGAGUGUAGAGGUGAAAUUCGUAGAUAUUCGGAAGAACACCAGUGGCGAAGGGCGGCUCACUGGACCGGCAAUUGACGCUGAGGUGCGAAAGCGUGGGGGAGCAAACAGG
rnacentral:rRNA from 1 species